AGUCAACUUCAGUUUUAAACAUAAUUAUCAUAAUUUGUGGCUGAGUACACAUUCAAGAGUACUGGAAGCAGAUAGCAAGAAUACUUCUUCCCUAAUUACUAAGUUGAUAUUGGAUGCUACUAUUGUCAAGAAGUGGAUUAAAACAAUCUUUGGAAAGAAUGGCCGUUUUUAAUGAACAUCGCUUGAAUAAGUUAAGCUGGUGGGAAAAGAAGCCCAAGUUAAGUCCUUCAAGUGAAGCAAGGAGCUGGUAGGAAGAGAAACCCAAGUUCAAUCUUUUAAGGGAAACAAAGAUUGCAGGGAAGAGACAAGUUAGGGUUGCGAUUCUGCUAUAAUGUCCUAAAGGAUUUUGUUCUCAGCAAGUUCUGAAUGAAGCUGGAUAUUUACCAUCAAACUCUGAAAAGUAUCCUCUAGGGGGCAUAAUCGCAGCAAUUCAAAAUGCUUUCCAUGCAACACCGGAGCUCCAGUGCAAAGGUGGUGCAGUGGAGGAACUCCGUUUGUGCUUCUUUAAGGAUUUCAAGCCUCGAGAUUGCAUCAGUGAACCUCACAUUAAAAGUUAUCUGGUUGCUUCAAGCUCGUGUCCCAAGUACGUCAGCUUGCCUGAUGUUCAAGCCUCUUCAAGAUAUGCUGACACAAGAGUGGCUUUCUGAAUAAUCAUCAACGUGGAACGUUAUGCCAGUCGUCUCUCAAAGACACCUGUACCAAAUGAAGAGCCAGAGAUCAUCUGGAGAUGAUGUUGUAUGACAGACUAUUAGAAAAUUGAACAUCAAGAAUGGGAUAUUUGUCCCUUUUGGACCAUCAUUGUUAACUGCUGCUCGGAAUUACAAGAUGUUUGGAGCUGUCUAAAGUUGUAGCAGUGUAUCUGACAUAAACAUUUCAUCCACUGUAGAUCUUCUCUGGUUGUUUAUAUGUAAUCUGUUAGUAGUUUAUUUGGUCAAA